rnacentral:rRNA from 1 species
UACGGGGGGGCAAGCGUUGUUCGGAAUUACUGGGCGUAAAGGGCUCGUAGGCGGCCAACUAAGUCAGACGUGAAAUCCCCCGGCUUAACCUGGGAACUGCGUCUGAUACUGGACGGCUUGAGUAUGGGAGAGGGAUGUAGAAUUCCAGGUGUAGCGGUGAAAUGCGUAGAUAUCUGGAGGAAUACCGGUGGCGAAGGCGGCAUCCUGGACCAUUACUGACGCUGAGGCGCGAAAGCUAGGGGAGCAAACGGGG